rnacentral:rRNA from 1 species
CGCGUAGGCGGUUUGGACGGUCAGGCGUGAAAUUCCCGGGCUUAACCUGGGGGCUGCGCUUGAUACAUCCGGACUGGAGUGGGGAAGAGGGUCGUGGAAUUCCCAGUGUAGAGGUGAAAUUCGUAGAUAUUGGGAAGAACACCGGUGGCGAAGGCGGCGACCUGGUCCUUGACUGACGCUGAGGCGCGAAAGCGUGGGGAGCAAACAGGAUUAGAUACCCUGGUAGUCCACGCCGUAAACGAUGUGUGCUGGAUGUUGGGUGGCCUAGCCACGCAGUGUCGUAGCUAACGCGGUAAGCACACCGCCUGGGGAGUACGGCCGCAAGGUUGAA